rnacentral:rRNA from 1 species
AUUGAACGCUGGCGGCAGGCCUAACACAUGCAAGUCGAGCGGAUGAAGGGAGCUUGCUCCUGGAUUCAGCGGCGGACGGGUGAGUAAUGCCUAGGAAUCUGCCUGGUAGUGGGGGAUAACGUCCGGAAACGGGCGCUAAUACCGCAUACGUCCUGAGGGAGAAAGUGGGGGUUCUUCGGACCACGCGCUAUCAGAUGAGCCUAGGUCGGAUUGGCUAGUUGGUGGGGUAGAGGCCUACCAAGGCGACGAUCCGUAACUGGUCUGAGAGGAUGAUCAGUCACACUGGAACUGAGACACGGUCCAGACUCCUACGGGAGGCAGCAGUGGGGAAUAUUGGACAAUGGGCGAAAGCCUGAUCCAGCCAUGCCGCGUGUGUGAAGAAGGUCUUCGGAUUGUAAAGCACUUUAAGUUGGGAGGAAGGGCAGUAAGUUAAUACCUUGCUGUUUUGACGUUACCAACAGAAUAAGCACCGGCUAACUUCGUG